GUAACCUGGGAAGACCCCGGGGAACCCAGAUUACCAAACUGCCAUCUCUCCUUCUGGAGCAGACCUAGAAGCAGAAGAGGUGGAGGAGGGUGCCACCUCUUCAUGCUGUCUCCUCUACAUCUGCUUCUGGGCCUGCUCCAGAAUGAGUGAUGAUGGCCUGGUAACUAGGCUGCCCAAGUUACUGAACUACCAUUUCUCCUUCUGGAGUGGGGGUCCUCCUGGGCUCUGCCCCAGUUAUUGAGCUGCCAUCUUUCCAUCUGGAGUGGGGAGUUGAGUCCAGAGAUUAUUUUAAAUUUUAUCUCUUCCCUAGGGGAUCAUCAUCCCCCAGACACUCAAGUAUGGGGGCUCCACCCCCUUCAUCACUGCUGGGGGAUUCACCCCUUGAUCCCCACCAAAAGUUUUACAAAUCUGGCUUUUAUGUAAAGGUCAGUGGUCAACAAAUGGCUAAAACUUGAGCAGCUCUGAAACUUUAAGGUCUGAUCCAAAGAGCAGAAAUUAAUUGAUGUCAAUGGGUUUUGGACCAGACCCUUUACUGCUUUAGAUUAUACCCCUGUUCCGAUACGCAGCCACCACUGAUAAAUGGGUGGAAGAGGCUUGUGAACCACAUGGCAGAGAUCAUGCUUUAUUCAAACUUACGCCUCCAAGUUAUCGCCUUCAAGAACUGUUUGCACAGGAAGGUAGCCAAGUCGUGGGUGCUUAGCAAAAUACUUCUUUGACCGGAACUUGUUCUUCAGCACCUUAGUGAAGUCACGUACAUCUUCUCCAGAUGUUGUCUAGAACAGUAGAGAAAUAAAAUUAAACAUUUCUAAUUG